rnacentral:lncRNA from 1 species
CAGCUUCUUAAACAAAAUUCAAACCCAAUAUUUUUUAGGUAGAUAAAAAUACAAACAAAAAUAUAAUAGGGUGAAGAAAUUAUUUCACAACAUAGUAGAAAUAAAGGAUAUGACCAGCAGUUCCAUAACAAGAUGGAUACACAUUCGCAUGUGUUUACAAGCACAAAUAUUCAUGCACAAAGAUAAUUUUUUUUUUCAAAAUUGAAAGUUAUAUUUAUCUGCAAAGGCGAAAGCAAAACUACAAGAACAUAAAUCACAUAUCCCUGAAAUCAGAAUAGAUGAAAGAGAAAGAGAUGAAGGUGAAGUAAAAGGCUGAAUUUGCACUUUUUUUAGUGCAAUAAAAUUGGAGCUUCCCAUUAAGAAUUUUGGAUACCCAAACUUGAACUCUGGAAAUUAAAACCUUGGCCAAUCACCAAGGAAAAACAAAGUGAUUUUUGUGACUUUUCUUGUGAGAUUCUUCUUAAACGUCCAAAUCUAUCUCUUUUUUUUUCUUGAAUCUAUAAAAAGGAAUUUGGUGAUUUUUGAAUACUUCUUUUUUCUCCCAAUUUUUAUCUUGUUCAACUUGUUUCUCACCCUCCUUUUCUCUAAUUUCAACCUCUCCCUUGAGAAAGUGAAAAGUUUGGACAUUUAUAGAUGAAUUUUAGAUUUGAAAAUUCGGAUCUGAAAUAAGAAUUUUUGUAAAAUUUGAGAUUUGAAAUUUGAAUUCAAAUAUCUCCAUAGAAUCCAUUUCCUCCAUAUCUUUGGCUCUAAUGAUGAAUUUCAGACUGAUUUUAUAUCCUUUCAUCAAUUUGGUGACUGGUUUUCUGUUGUUAUUGUGAUUCAUGGAUUUUGAGACUAAAAAUAGGGAGAAUCUUAGUAGAUGACGAUAGAUAUGGCAGUGUCCAUAGCUAGCGCGAAUGCUAAGAUUUCAAUUUUAGCAGUGCUAAAGGAGAGGCGAGGGAGAGAGGAGGAGGGUCAGUUGUUUGUGUUGCUUUUUAAGGAAAGAGGUGGUGACCAGUCAUAAGAAAGACAUGUAUGAUGUAUUUGAGAUUUACUAAAAUUUCACUGAAUUAAAAAUAACUCUAGGAUUGAAAAAUAUUUUAUGGUUGAA